GCUCACUUCAGCCGCACAUAUCCCAAAACUAGAACUACGCAGAGAAGAUAGGCAUGGCCUCUGCACAAGGAUGGCGUGUAAAUUUGCCAAGCAUUCCAUAUUUUU
ensembl:snRNA U6 U6 spliceosomal RNA